CGGGGCGUAGCGCAGUUUGGUAGCGCACUUGACUGGGGGUCAAGGGGUCGUGGGUUCAAAUCCCACCGUUCCGACCA
rnacentral:tRNA from 1 species